CAGGGCACUGUUCACUGGGACAUGACUCAGACCAUAAAUUCUUUUCUCAGAAUUUAGAAUUAGGAAACGGAGCUGCCUGUUGGUGAGGGUCACCAGUAGCAACACAUCAAGGUACAGGGAGUAACAAGACCAUGGCCAUAGCCGCUGUGAGGAAUGACAUACUAGCUUUUCCAACACCUAUGGAUUCAAUUUCCUGUGUUAAAUUCUCUCUGCUUGAAGGACCUCUAAUGAUGCCAGUUUUCUCGCUGGACCCUAACAGAUACAAGAUGAGCCCAGUACCCAAAGCAGUGAGGUGGUUUCCAUCUGCUCACAGCACAUGUGUGUCCCAGGUAGGACACUGGUGCAACCCAGGGUCUGCUGGAUUAUGCUCCUUGUCCAGACAACACAUUUCCCACACAUGCUGAAACGUGUGCCCUGGGAUUUUCCUGGGAUAUUAUUUGAGUUGCCUCUGAGGAUUUCAUUGUUUGUUAAGGUCUUAUAAAAAAAAAUCAAACCAAGGAAAAAAAAAAGACAAAUGAAGAUCAACUU